AGAACGAACGCUGGCGGCAUGCCUAACACAUGCAAGUCGAACGCUCUCUUCGGAGGGAGUGGCGCACGGGUGAGUAACGCGUGGGAACCUGCCUUGGAGUGGGGGAUAACCGAUGGAAACGUCGGCUAAUACCGCAUACGUCCUGAGGGAGAAAGAUUUAUCGCUCUGAGAGGGGCCCGCGUCGGAUUAGCUAGUUGGUGGGGUAACGGCCUACCAAGGCGAUGAUCCGUAGCUGGUCUGAGAGGAUGAUCAGCCACACUGGGACUGAGACACGGCCCAGACUCCUACGGGAGGCAGCAGUGGGGAAUAUUGGACAAUGGGCGCAAGCCUGAUCCAGCAAUGCCGCGUGAGUGAUGACGGCCUUAGGGUUGUAAAGCUCUUUCGGCGGGGACGAUGAUGACGGUACCCGCAGAAGACGCCCCGGCUAACUUCGUGCCAGCAGCCGC
rnacentral:rRNA from 1 species